rnacentral:lncRNA from 1 species
AAUAAGGGUGUUUUCAAUGUUAUUAAAAAUUCCAUUAUUACGUUAAGUUCAUAACACUCAAAUGUAACAGCCCGAUUUUUAGCUAGAUUUAUUUUAAUUACUUUUAUUUUGUGUUUGUGUGUGAUUUUACCGGGGUUAAUAGUGCUUUUCACCCCUGUAAUAUAUGUCAUUUUCGGUUUGAUUUGCACCCUUGUAAAAAUUUUAUUUUCCGAAAAACACCCCUAAUAGGCCAUUUUCAGAAUUUUUUUUCAAGAAAUUUUGGUUUUUGAAUGGCCUAAUAAGGGUGUUUUCUGGAAAAUAAAUUUUUUACGAUGGUCCAAAUCAAACCGAAAAUUUUAUAGGGGCGAAAAUCGAAAAUGACAUAUAUUACAAGGGUGAAAAACACUAUUAACCCUAUUUUACCGUUAUUAGUUAAAAUAUCGUUUGGAGUGUAGAAAUAUUUUUGGUUUGAAUAGAAACGGGUUAAGCCCAGUAGGGUCUAGAAUUGAGCCCAAUUGAGUUGGAGCAUACCUAAACCUAAAACUUGGAGAGAAAUUCAUUCAUUCCUUUUCAUUUCACAAAGUUAGAGAGGUAGAGAGAGAAAGUGGAAGAAAUGAAGAACAAGGGUUAGAGAAAGGGGGAAGCUUGAAGAUUGAAGAAUUAGGAGCUAAAGUGAAGCUUAAGUUUGGAUUAAUCAUUAUCUAAGGUAAGGGGGUUAGUCUUCAUCAUAAUCAUAAUUGUUUUGUUUGCAAUUUUCUUUAUUUGUAUGAAAAAGUGCUUAAUUGAGCAAGUAUUUAUCUGAACCCAAUCUUUGAAUUUCGUGCUCUUGUUUUGGUGAUAAGUUUGAGUAUGUUAAUUGAAUGAUAAAUGAAUUGUUGGUGAUGAAAUAACAUGUUCAUAAUGUAUGAAAAUGGGUAGUUGUGAAAUUAUGCUUAAUUGAUGAAUUGUGACAUGUUAUUGUUGAAUUGAGGUGAGAAUCAAGUUUCAAUUGAUGUUGUUGUUGCUGAGAUAUGUUGUUGUUUAUGAUUAUGGCUUGGGUGUUCAUAUAUCAUGAUUGUUGGUGAGAAAUAAGAUGCUGUUGGUUGUUUUGCAAAAAUGGGUCAAAUGGUGAUUUUGUUUAAAAUGAUGUUUGAUUCAAGUAGUUAUAUAAAAUUGAGUGUCUUUUCAUGUUGAGAAACGUUUGGAUGCACUUUGGGAUCGAAUUUGGAUAAUGGGAAGUCAAAAAUUGGGAUUUUGGGGUGAAAAUGGAUUUUUCCUGUAAAACAGAAUUUUCUGAACUGUGCUCCCUCGCAAGGCGAGCUGGUGGCGAGCAGCUACUGUGACAACUCGCCAUGGCGAGCAAUCUUCCUCGACAGGCGAGCUUCCCAGUUGCAGCAUCCCAUGUUUUCGCAUUUUGCGUCGUUUUCACUCGUUUCCGUUUUGUUUUGCCUUUUGAUUUUAACAUGAAAGUUUUAGACAAUUGAGUUGGAAUUCCAUUGGCCUUAGUUUGACUUGAAAAUAAUGUUUUGUUUUUGAGUUAUGAAGAAAAUACUCUAAGGAGGUUUUAAUAAAACUUUACGAAAAUUCCGCACAAUUGUUUCUAAGUCAACCUAAACCUUAUGGAUUGUUUCCAAACUUCAAAGUCUGUUUAUUAUAAGUUCAAUUAAAGGUUUUAGAGUAUUUGAAACUUGGUUUAUGAAAUUGAGACUUAAUUUGGAAAAUUACUUAGAAUGUCGAUUUUUCCGGAAUGUGAUUUCUCUUAAGAAAUGGAAUGGGAUUAAUGUUGUUUAAUGAUUACUAAAUUUCCGGAAAUGGAUGAGAUUGGUUCCUUUGAACUUUACUUGGUUUUAUUUUGAAAAUGGAGAUGUAUGGAUGAAUUAUUAUAUGUUGGAUAUGAUAUUAACAUGAGGUGUUGUAUGUUCUCUUACUUGGUAUAUGAGAAAUAUUGCAAUGAUGAGAUGGUAUUGGUGAGUCCGUAUACAUUGUUAUUAUGAUAUGAUAUUGAUUAUGUAUGUGGUGAUGAAUUAUUGAUGUGAUUGCAUAAAUGCAAAUAAAUAUUGGUGAUGAUUUGGUGAGUGGUUGUGUGGACAUAUGCAUUAUUAUUGAGUCAUAUGUUCAUGCAUACAUAUUUGGUGAUGACGGAUAUGUUUAUAUAUCCAAUUGGUGAUGAUAUUGGUGAUGAUGGGCGACGGCCUAAAUAUUGGUGAUGACCGGUACCGCAUGCAUAUAGGUGUUGUGUCUAGGAUCAUAUUUUGAGGUGACAUGAGUCCUAGUUGUGAAAUUACUUGAUGUACUUGUGGUUGUAAGUGAUUGAUGGUGAUGUUUAUAUUUGAUGGAUUGUUGUGUCAUGUUAUGAUUAAUUAUGUGAAUUGAUGAACUCAUGGAAUUGGUGGAAUUGUGAAUGAUGAUUAUUGAUGAUGAUGUGUUCGUUGAAUAUAUGUCGGUGAAACUUGGAUUGCGGUGAUAAUGUAUGUAUGGAAUUUAUCUAUUUUGAUUCAUUACAUGAUAUUGGAUUAUCUUAUUCCUGUUUAUCUGUGUUAUUGAUUAUGUUGAUGUAAUACUCACCCCCAGUUGUUUUAACCACCUACUUGCCUGUAUGUGUGAGUAGACGUUGUGCAGGAGUAGUAGCUUGGUGAGUUCCUGAUGUUGGUGGAUAGUGGGAGCUUUCUCCACUAUCGGGUCUUAGAGUAGAGUUGGCUCUGAUCUAGGGUUUUGUUGUUAGCUCUAGAUCUUGUUGAAUUAUUUUUAUAUUUUGAGAUUUUGUCCAUGUGUCGGACUUGGAGAUUUCAUGCUUAUGUAUUUUGAGAUUACAUGACAUGUAUGGUUGAUGUAUAAUAAUUUGUAUCCGCUGUGACUGAUGAGUUUUUUUAUACAUGCAUGUUAGUUUCUGAUCUUUGGUUUUCGUUUUUGGUGAAAGUAGCGUCUAUUUCUCG